AACAAGGAAGUUAUGCUGAAAUUGUAUAAGAUAGUAAAACAGAAAUUGCUAGAAAAUCUCAGCAGGUCUGGCAGCAUCUAUGGAGAGAACGCAGAGUUAAUGUUUCAGGUCCAGUUACCUUUCUCCAGAACUUGGACCUUUCUUCUGAUUUACAGCGUCCAGGGCUCUUUUGGUUUUUUGCGUAAGAUAACAGUUAGAUUUCAGAUGGAUUAUCGUGUACAAUACCAGAUACCACACUUUAGAAAGGAUGUGAUGUAUUGGAGAGAAUGCAGAUGUGAUUUACAAGAAUAGUUGCAGGGAUGAGAAACUUCAGUUAUGAAGAUUGAUUAGAAUAGUUGAGACUAUUUGCUUUGGAGAGGAAAGGCUAAGAAGAGAUUUUAUUCAAACUUUCAAAGUCCUGAGAGGGUGGUCAGCGUAGAUAUGGAGAAACUGUUCCCACUCAUGAAGGACCGAGAAUGUGAGGGCAUAGAUAUAAGGUAAUUUAUAAAAGAAGCAAACAUAAUGUGAGAUAAAACAUUUGUGUUUGGAUCUGGAAUGCAUUGCCUGGAAGUAUGGUGGUGGUAGGUUCAAUUCAAGACAGCAUUAGAUAAUUAUUUAAAUACAAACAAUAUUCAAAAUUAUGGGGAAAAGGCAAGAGAAUAGAGUAAUUCAUAAUGUUCAUUUGGAGAGCGGGUGCAGUCAUGGUAGGCAGUUAACGUUUCAGUUUGAUGAUCUUUAAUAGCUGAUAAUUGUGUAGUUUACAGCAAAAGUUUUGUUGGUUUUCCACUACCAGUGCUGAUCAACUUCUUUGGUGUCUGCUAUUGGUGGCCUUGCUUUUGUCCUAGUUCUGUCCAACUCAAGAAGUUUUCCUACUCCUCUGUUCCCUUUUCAUUCUUCCUGCCCCACUGAUCUUUCACACUUUCCCUGUCAACCAUUUCAUCCUCUGAAGCUCUUCAGUGUGGUGUUUGUCAAAAAUGAGAAUUAAAUAUGCAAUUAGAACCUAGUUUAAGACUUUACUAAAAAUGCCAAAAUAAGUUAGUGCACAUUCAUAUAAACACAGGCAAUUCGCAGUAUCAACCAUCGUACUCCAAUCUCAAAAUGCUGCAUGGUCGGCAGUGUUGUACAAAAUUUGAGAGGCUUGGGCCUUAGUGAUUAAUCAGAACACUGACAUUUUACAGGAGUGGUAACUUAAAAUACACACAACUUGUCAGAGCUUGUAUACCUGUCUAUUUGUCUCUUAUAUUAAAAAAAGUUCCAGAGCCACACAGAAUGCUGCUUGUAAGUCAAUUGCUCAAGGGCUACCUGGCCAGUUUUGAUCACUGCUGACAGCAAUGCAACCAGUACCUGGCUUAUAAAUGAAGAACAUUUUCUCUACCUACGAUUUUAAUAAUGUUACAGGCCGGUGGCUCUUUGAGUGCUUAACAUUGGAUCAAGACUUAUCAUUGCAUUCUACUUUAGUCAACCAGUUACAGCAAAAACAUCAACCUUUCAGCAAUUUACAGGAUCUCGUGCACAGAAUGGGUAUCACAUAAAAUAGCAUUUACUUCACAAAUGAGUGCCUUUGGAGAGUUUGCGCUAUUUUUUCACGAUACCUAUGGUGGAAGUUUGAUUGCUGUGCUUUGGAAACCUCAGGCAUUUACACCUCAGCCUUUUAAAACUUCCCACAUUAAUGCAAAAAUGUUGGAAACUAAAGGAAAUCAGCUUCAACUGGUCCCUAAUGUGGAAGCAAUAUUGGAAGACUUUGAAAUUCUUGGAGCUGGUUUGGUGAAGUCAGUCGAAGCACUGACAGAGAAAUGGAAGAUCUAGGGGCAUAAAUUGAUUCAGAUUUGUUUGGGCCUUUAAUCUCAAACUAAUGAACAUGUAAUAAAAUAAUUAUUCUAACUUACCUUAUUGAAAAUAAUAAAAGUUUACACAUGUCCAUUUA